GCUUACGGCCAUAUCACGUUGAAAGCACGCCAUCCCGUCCGGUCUGGCAAGUUAAGCAACGUUGAACCUGGUUAGUACUUGAAUCGGAGGCGGCAUGGGAAUCCCAGGACUGGAUGGAAGGA
rnacentral:rRNA from 1 species